UGCAGUCGAGCNNNNGNUGAAGAAGCUUGCUUCUUCUGAUUUUANNGNNNNNNGGGUGAGUAACACGUGGGCAACCUACCUUGUAGAUUGGGAUAACUCCGGGAAACCGGGGCUAAUACCGAAUAAUCCAUUUUGCUUCAUGGCGAAAUGUUAAAAGGCGGCGAUCUCGCUGUCACUGCAAGAUGGGCCCGCGGCGCAUUAGCUAGUUGGUAAGGUAACGGCUUACCAAGGCGACGAUGCGUAGCCGACCUGAGAGGGUGAUCGGCCACACUGGGACUGAGACACGGCCCAGACUCCUACGGGAGGCAGCAGUAGGGAAUCUUCCACAAUGGACGAAAGUCUGAUGGAGCAACGCCGCGUGAGUGAAGAAGGUUUUCGGAUCGUAAAACUCUGUUGUAAGGGAAGAACACGUACGAGAGUAACUGCUCGUACCUUGACGGUACCUUAUUAGAAAGCCACGGCUAACUACGUGCCAGCAGCCGCGGUAAUACGUAGGUGGCAAGCGUUGUCCGGAAUUAUUGNGCGUAAAGCGCGCGCAGGCGGUCCUUUAAGUCUGAUGUGAAAGCCCACGGCUCAACCGUGGNGGGUCAUUGGAAACUGGGGGACUUGAGUACAGAAGAGGAAAGCGGAAUUCCAAGUGUAGCGGUGAAAUGCGUAGAGAUUUGGNGGAACACCAGUGGCGAAGGCGGCUUUCUGGNCUGUANCUGACGCUGANGCGCGAANGCGUG
rnacentral:rRNA from 1 species